rnacentral:sRNA from 1 species
CCCUAGCCCUGAUGGAAGCGACAUCCUUUUAUACCGGGGUUCGGUAUAAAAGAUACAGCGUACAGCAGGAUUCGCU